GGUAACUGUAGUAAUUCUAGAGCUAAUACAUGCCUCGAAGUCUUGACCUCACGGAAUGGACGCACUUAUUAGAUCAAAAUCAACCGGGUUUCGGCCUGAGAUUUUGAUGACUCUGGAUAAUCUUUUCUACAGAUCGUACGGCCUUGUGUCGACGACGGAUCUUUGAAAUGUCUGCCCUAUCAACUGUAGAUGGUAGGAUAUUUGCCUACCAUGGUGAUAACGGGUAACGGGGAAUCAGGGUUCGAUUCCGGAGAGGGAGCCUGAGAAAUAGCUACCACAUCCAAGGAAGGCAGCAGGCGCGCAAAUUACCCACUCCCGGCUCGGGGAGGUAGUGACAAAAAAUAACGAUACGGGACUCUUUCGAGGCCCCGUAAUCGGAAUGAGAACACUUUAAAUCCUUUAUCGAGGAUCAAUUGGAGGGCAAGUCUGGUGCCAGCAGCCGCGGUAAUUCCAGCUCCAAUAGCGUAUAUUAAAGUUGUUGCAGUUAAAAAGCUCGUAGUUGGAUCUUAGGAACCGAUCGAAGGGUCCGCCUUUGUGGUGUGACUUUUUGGUCAUCCUAAAUAGCCGUGGACACCAUUAGUGUUCUUAAUUGAGCGCUUUUGGGGCCCGGCGAUGUUACUUUGAAAAAAUUAGAGUGCUCAAAGCAGGCUUUUGCCUGUAUAAUGUUGCAUGGAAUAAUGGAAUAGGACUUCGGUUCUAUUUUGUUGGUUUUCGGAUCCGAAGUAAUGAUUAACAGAGACGGCCGGGGGCAUUUGUAUAGCGGCGCUAGAGGUGAAAUUCUUGGACCGUCGCUAGACAACCUACUGCGAAAGCAUUUGCCAAGAAUGUUUUCACUAAUCAAGAACGAAAGUCAGAGGUUCGAAGACGAUCAGAUACCGUCCUAGUUCUGACCAUAAAUGAUGCCAACUAACGAUCCAAAGGGUUGCUUGAUCGACCCCGUGGGCAGCUCCGGAGAAAUCAAAGUUUUUGGGCUCCGGGGGUAGUAUGGUUGCAAGACUGAAACUUAAAGGAAUUGACGGAAGGGCACCACCAGGAGUGGAGCCUGCGGCUUAAUUUGACUCAACACGGGAAAACUCACUCGGCCCGGACAUUAUAAGGAUUGACAGAUUUAUAGCUCUUACAUAAUUUUAUGGUUGGUGGUGCAUGGCCGUUCUUAGUUGGUGGAUUGGUUUGUCUGGUUGAUUCCGAUAACGAGCGAGAUUGUUACUUACUAAAUAGACACUCGGAGUCACCGACAUAUCCUGAUCUUGUAGCUUCUUAGAAGAAUCUAUGUUUUUGAGACAUAUGAUAGAGAGCAAUAACAGGUCUGUGAUGCCCUUAGAUGUUCGAGGCCGCACGCGCGCUACACUGACGGUACCAGAGAGUAUGCUCCUGACUCGUGAGGGUUGGGUAACCUACUUAAUGGCCGUCGUGUUAGGGAUCGGAGCUUGCAAUUAUUCUCCGUGAACGAGGAAUUCCCAGUAAGCGCAAGUCAUAAGCUUGCGUUGAUUACGUCCCUGCCCUUUGUACACACCGCCCGUCGCUACUACCGAUUGAGUGGUUUAGUGAGGUCAUCGGAUUGGUGAUAGCGGGAUGGUC
rnacentral:rRNA from 1 species